AGAAAUAUAGCUUAAAACAGGAAGUGGCGACACGAUGGAACAGCGCAUACCUGAUGAUUGGUCGUAUUUUAUUAACAAAUGAUGCAAUUGUAAAAGUUCUGCUCAAUAUAUCAAAAGCACUACAACCUUUGACAGCAGACGAAGUUGCGUUAUUACAACAUUUGAUGCAGUUACUUUCACCAUUUGACAAUGCCACUAUGCAAUCAUCCUCUAGUUCCACAGUUACGAUCUCCUUAGUCAUACCGCUUGUGUGUGGUCUUUUGCAUACUUUAGAAAACCUUAAAACGAAUCUCAGAACUGCUGAAGGACUUGAUGCGUGCAUCUUUAUGAUUGAGCUUCUUUUCUCCUUUUAAUGCUAAUGAGCCUGGAAAAAUUCUAGAAAAUGAGCUUGCAGCUGUAAGCAAGGUGCAGAGAACACAACUUUCUCCAGGCAUUGGUGCCCCAGAACCGCCAACACUAAUUGAAAAGCCUGGGCCGUCACAGCAAACGUUAUUUGGAUUCCUUGAAAGAAAUAUAGCGAGCAUGGCGAGGACUAAUCGGGUCGAUGCGAUUGUCACCUUACGGCAAUAUUUGGAGAAUCCACAUUCUCCUCAGGGCAGUGACCCCUUGGAAUAUUGGAAAUGCCUUCCGAAUGAUUCUUUUACAAAAGCGUGCGCUGCUCGAUUUCUUUGCGUUCCAGCCACAUCCACAGAAUCUGAAAGGAUGUUCAGCAGAGCAGGCAUCAUAGCAAAUCAUAGCUUCUUUAAAGGCAAAGAAUGUGGACAUGCUUGUAUUUCUUAACAAAAAUUUUUGGAUCUCUCAAUUACAUUAAUACAUUUUCUUAAACUAAAUUUUUUUAUAUUACAAAGCUUUAAAAGCAAAUCCAAUUCGCCUUAAAAAGAGACUCAAUAUCCCUAUGAUCUCGCAUUAAUGUGUGUAUAUAUAUUUUUAUACUUUAAUUUAUAUGCAACUGUUUGUUCAUUUUUUAAUAUACUUUUCUUUUAUAAAAAGAAAUGAAUUGAUACAAAUUAAUGUAAUAAACAAAAAUAUCGUGUAUUUCAUAUGUAUGUUUAUUAAAAGAUGUAGCUGCCAAAGACUUGUUUAAAUAAAUAAAUGAAAACGA